GAACCGUAUGAACGUUAUUCGGAAUUACUGGGCUUAAAGGGUGCGUAGGCUGCACGGAAAGUUGGGUGUGAAAGCCCUCAGCUCAACUGAGGAAUUGCAUCCAAAACUGCCGUGCUUGAGGGAGACAGAGGUGAGCGGAACUCAAGGUGGAGCGGUGAAAUGCGUUGAUAUCUUGAGGAACACCGGCGGCGAAAGCGGCUCACUGGGUCUCUUCUGACGCUGAGGCACGAAAGCUAAGGUAGCAAACGGGAUUAGAUACCCCGGUAGUCUUAGCUGUAAACGAUGAGCACUUGAUUGGAGGGUCCUCCAUAGCCUUCCAGUCGUAGCGAAAGUGUUAAGUGCUCCGCCUGGGAGUAUGGUCGCAAGGCUG
rnacentral:rRNA from 1 species